rnacentral:rRNA from 1 species
CCUACGGGUGGCAGCAGUGGGGGAUAUUGGACAAUGGGGGAAACCCUGAUCCAGCGAUGCCGCGUGAGGGAAGAAGGUUUUCGGAUUGUAAACCUCUGUGGAGGGGGACGAUAAUGACGGUACCCCUUUAGGAAGCCACGGCUAACUCCGUGCCAGCAGCCGCGGUAAUACGGAGGAUGCGAGCGUUAUCCGGAUUUAUUGGGUUUAAAGGGUGCGUAGGCGGUCCGUUAAGUCAGCGGUAAAAUUGCGGGGCUCAACCCCGUCGAGCCGUUGAAACUGGCAGACUUGAGUUGGCGAGAAGUACGCGGAAUGCGCGGUGUAGCGGUGAAAUGCAUAGAUAUCGCGCAGAACUCCGAUUGCGAAGGCAGCGUACCGGCGCCAGACUGACGCUGAGGCACGAAAGCGUGGGGAUCGAACAGGAUUAGAUACCCUUGUAGUC